rnacentral:lncRNA from 1 species
GACCUAAUUGUACAAGCCCAAUUUUAGCCCGAGGCCCAAAACCCGAACCAAACUAAACCUAACCUAAACAGACCCAAAAACAAUCCAUGGCCCAAUACCAAACACCCAAUUACAACCAGAAACCCAAUAGCCUAGACCAAAACCCGAAGCCCAACAGGCCCAAAAUAGACCAACAGACCCAAGCCCAAGUGUCAAGGGUCAAACUAGGGUUUCAGCUUUUCUGAAACCCUAGCGCCGCAGCCACCGACCCCAACUGCCACCAAGUCUGCCACCGCACGGCCUCCUCACUGGCCUCACCUGCUCCACCUGCAAAACAAAGAACAACACGCAACAACAAAGGACAACAGAGAGAAAACAACAAAGAAACAAACAAAGGAACAGCAGUAGACAAAAAAUAAAAAAAACAAAUGGAAAAUGACAAAAAAAAUAGCAAACAGCCCUAUAAAGGCUGAAAACGAGACUAUUGUAUUUUCUCUCUUCGACAUGAAUACAAAGAAAAAAAAAGAAAGAUCUGAACUUUUGAAGUUUUUUUCAUUUUUGCAUUUUAGAUCUAGGGUAUUUAUUAUUAUUAUUUCAUCUACGAAAAUAUAAAAAAAGGAGGAGAAGGGGAAUACCUGGAGUCUCCCGCAAGUCCCAUCGCCAGAGCCCUUUGCGACCGCCAGAAUCGUGCCGAGGGAGGGCGCGGGGGUCUCCUUUUCCUCCGGUCUUUGGGCCAAGAAAGGCACCGUCACCAAACGGCCUUUUAAAUCGGGUUAAAAUCGACCUUCGGGUCGCACGCCACCGCCCGUGGUGGAUCUAUGGCGACGCAGGCGACGGCCCUAUUGGCCUGAUUGGAGGGCUGCGAGAGAGAGAAUCUGAAAGUUCUCUGAAUUUUUUUUAAAAAAAAGAGGGGUUAAACUGAUUUUUUUCUUAUUUUUUGCAUUUAUAUUGGGUGUAAUACGGCGCCGUUUUGGGCCUUGGUAUCAGUGGCCAAAACGGUGCCGUUUUGUCGUUUACUCGACCCAGUGGUACCAGGAUCCGCGUGUUUUGUUGGGAGGGGCUAAUUUCAUGUUCAGCCCCUCCGCUUUUGCAAAUAGUGUAAUCAGAUUCUUCUUUAUUUUUGAUUUGGGCCAUAAGAUUUACUGCUUGUUUCAUUUUAGUCCAUUGAAAUGCAGCACAGGAGGUCAAUGGGAUAUUUUCCCGAUUAAUCUCCGCUUUACUUUGCGCAUUUGAAUUUGGUCCCUUAUUUAUUUUUAUUUUAAUCUAUCCUGCUAAUUUAAUUUAAGCUACAAUUAAACCCUUUUUUUUUAUCUUAUUUUUGUAUUUAUUUAUUUAUUUAGUUAUUUGUUUGCUUAUUUAUAUCUUUAUUUAAAACUUUGUUAUACACGGACAUAUACAUCAUUUUAUAAUAUGCAUACGCACAUAUAUUUUAUGUUUUAUAUAUUUAUAUAUACAUAUGUGUUUUAUGUUCUAUAACUUUAAAAAAUAUAUAUAUAUACAUACAUAUUUUCUUUUAUAUAUAUAUAUACUUUAUAAUCUUAAAAUAUAUGUAUACCUAUAUACCUUUUAUAAUACAGAGA